rnacentral:rRNA from 1 species
GUCUAUGGCCACGCCACACCGAACAAGCCUGAUCCCAUCUGAUCUCGGAAGCUAAGCAGGGUUGGGCCUGGUUAGUACUUGGAUACGAGACCACCUAGGAAGACCAGGUACUGUAGGCG